CCUACGGGUGGCAGCAGUCGAGAAUCAUUCACAAUGGGGGAAACCCUGAUGGUGCGACGCCGCGUGGGGGAAUGAAGGUCUUCGGAUUGUAAACCCCUGUCAUGUGGGAGCAAAUUAAAAAGAUAGUACCACAAGAGGAAGAGACGUCUACCUCUGUGCCAGCAGCCGCGGUAAUACAGAGGUCUCAAGCGUUGUUCGGUAUGACUGGGCGUAAGGCGUGCGUAGGCUGUUUUGUAAGUCGUGUGUGAAUGGCGCGGGCUCAACCCGCGGACGGCACAUGAUACUGCGAGACUAGAGUAAUGGAGGGGGAACCGGAAGUCUCGGUGUAGCAGUGAAAUGCGUAGAUAUCGAGAGGAACACUCGUGGCGAAGGCGGGUUCCUGGACAUUAACUGACGCUGAGGCACGAAGGCCAGGGGAGCGAAAGGGAUUAGAUACCCUUGUAGUC
rnacentral:rRNA from 1 species